GGCUGCGAGCGGUGGUCUCCUUUCUGUUUCUUGGGGGAAGGGGGAGGGUCGCAUCUGCUGGGAAUGCGCAUGUCCUUCCUCUAAACUCUAGCCAGAUACGAGGGUCAUUGGUUGGCUUUUUCGCGUCUGGUUGAAAGACAGCAAGUAGCAGCUGUGGAAAGGGAUCUUGGCUGUGUCAGCCCUUCAAGGUUGUCCAGAUGAAGAAACAAGAAGACUAGAAGGCAUGUGUGUACGCAGCACAUGGUUUUUGGACUCUCCUCCUGCACUUGAUUCCAGGCAUCGAAUGAUCUGUUCCUGACUUCAGUGUUACAACAUAAUGACUUCAUAGA